AUUGAACGCUGGCGGCAGGCCUAACACAUGCAAGUCGAACGAGUGGCGGACGGGUGAGUAAUGUCUGGGAAACUGCCUGAUGGAGGGGGGUAACUACUGGAAACGGUAGCUAAUACCGCAUCCCAUCAGAUGUGCCCAGAUGGGAUUAGCUAGUUGGUGGGGUAACGGCUCCCCAAGGCGACGAUCCCUACCUGGUCUGAGAGGAUGACCACCCACACUGGAAUUGAGAAACGGCCAAGAUUCUUAAGGGAGCCACCAGGGGGGAAUAUGGCAAAAUGGGCGAAAGCCGGAUGCAGCAAUGCCGCGUGUAUGAAGCAGGCCUUCGGGUUGAAAACUACUUUAAGCGGGGAGGCGUUACCCGCAGAAGAAGCCCCGGCUAACUCCGUGCCAGCAGCCGCGGUAAUUC
rnacentral:rRNA from 1 species